ACGUACACUCCUACGGGAGGCAGCAGUGGGGAAUAUUGGACAAUGGGCGCAAGCCUGAUCCAGCCAUGCCGCGUGAGUGAUGAAGGCCCUAGGGUUGUAAAGCUCUUUCACCGGUGAAGAUAAUGACGGUAACCGGAGAAGAAGCCCCGGCUAACUUCGUGCCAGCAGCCGCGGUAAUACGAAGGGGGCUAGCGUUGUUCGGAUUUACUGGGCGUAAAGCGCACGUAGGCGGACUAUUAAGUCAGGGGUGAAAUCCCGGGGCUCAACCCCGGAACUGCCUUUGAUACUGGUAGUCUUGAGUUCGAGAGAGGUGAGUGGAAUUCCGAGUGGAGAGGUGAAAUUCGUAGAUAUUCGGAGGAACACCAGUGGCGAAGGCGGCUCACUGGCUCGAUACUGACGCUGAGGUGCGAAAGCGUGGGGAGCAAACAGGAUUAGAAACCCGAGUAGUCCCAUGAU
rnacentral:rRNA from 1 species